rnacentral:rRNA from 1 species
GACGGUCUCAGUUCGGAUUGAAGGCUGAAAUUCGCCUACAUGAAGUUGGAAUUGCUAGUAAUGGCAGGUCAGCAUACUGCCGUGAAUACGUUCCCGGGCCCUUGUACACACCGCCCGUCACACCAUGAGAGUUGGAGAUACCCGAAGCCUGUGAGCUAACUUUUUAAGAGGCAGCAGUCGAAGGUAGAGCCAAUGAUUGGGGUGAAGUCGUAACAAGGUACC